CUUUAGACUGGGAGUCCAGGCAUCAAGACCCGGCUAAGUAAGUCUACUCUUCUCUUCAGCAUGAGUUGUGUCCUCCUCAUGGAGUCCAGGGCUGUCAGGUUUACAUCUUUACAGUCCAGCUCCGAAGAGAAAGAACGUCCCUUCUCUCAUGGAUUCCUAAAGCACAGUAGCCUGAUGGAAUCAUGCUCUGAACCAUUCCUGAAGGAAUGAAGCGGGAUUCUUGUUAGGAAGUGGCUUGCAUCUUCUGCAGCACAAGAUUCAAUGGCAGAAAGGAAACAUCACAAACCAGCCAGAGGGAUGGAGAUGAGCGAGCUGUGGAUAGCGUGGCUGGACUUUGGACAGGAGUCUUGUCUGGACUGUGUGCCCAGGAGUGGCACUAGCCACUGUGAGCUCCCACAUCGCUACCAAUCAAGAAAGUGAUCCACAGAAAUGUUCACAGGCCAAUCGAAUGGAAACAAUUCCUAAAUAAAGAGUCCCUCCUCCCAUGUGAA